rnacentral:lncRNA from 1 species
UGGAAAGGAACCCAUUGGUUUUACCUGAAUUUUGUUCGGACCUGGAGCAGUUUUGGUAAAUCCACUAAUGGGAAAUUCCAGGGUCAAAUUCUAAGAGCUUGCAACAAAUACCUUCAUGUUUUGUACAGUGAAAAAUGAUAGCUUGUUCUUUGUAUGCCACAGGGAAUACAAAAAAGCUGAGGAAAGUAAUCACAUGAUUCCAACAUCCAGCCAUAGGAGGAAAAAUCUGUCAAUGAAGCUUUAUUCCACAUAUGAAGGCAGUCAAGGAAUCCAGCCAAGAUAAGAUAAAAGUGAACUGCUGCAGAAAGGCUAAUACUGAGAAGUAUUAUCAUGUGAAAGAGCUGCAACAUUCAAGAAAAAAUGCUGUUCACUGACUAAAUUUCAAUGUCUUAAAGCUUGCUGAGAUUUAAACUUUCUCAGGGGUCUACAGAAACAAGUAAUUUAUGUUUAUGUAAGGAGGAAAGGAUUCUUUGCACAAGUACAGCAGUAAUAGCUCUGGUAUGUGCUUUGAGGUCUGCAAAAUUGCUUUUUCUGGGGAAAGCAGUUCAUUAAAUUUCCACAGCUAAAGCCAAUUUGCACAAUCCAAGUAAAUGUCCAGGGGUAUUCUCUGAGGGAUAAAGGGAUGAAUACACCCACAGCACCUCCUCCCACCGGCAGCAGUCACGGAGGCUGGGGGUAAUAGGCGUCCUCUCUUGCACAUCCUAUGAAGUCAUAUCAUGUCUGAACCCAUCUUCAUACCACAGUGACACAGAACUAUAAUUAGUAAUAAUUCUAGUUAGCAAUAUACUAUUGUUCAAUAACACAUAGGCAAAAAGGGGAGUUAUUUCCAGUGAGUCAAAGGAAAGCAUGCAUUAUAUUUAGGGUGGUGGCAAGUUUUUACCCAGUGGGUGUGGACAUUUUUUGCAGGAUGUUGCAUUACUUCCCUUGCAUUCAGUGCACAUGGGGAAAGGAAGGGAAGUAUAUAACUUCUGUCUCCACUCUAUACUGUUAAAAUACAAAGAAUAUCCCCCCCCCCCCCUUUUUUUUUUUUUUUUUUUUUUUUUGCCUUCACAUUAAGGGUUCUGUUUUUACCCUCCAUAUUGCCCAACAAACUGCUAAAAAAUUCCAGCAGCUACAUUUUUCAGUGAAGCCAAGUAUAGUAUGAGGUUUUCCAAAAGGUGAAUGAAACAAUCCAUUGAAAAUGUCAGUCAGAAGCCAGAGUAUAAUUUUAUUUAUUUUUUUGAUCCUAGUUCAGAAUUCCUAUGAUUAGCAUGUGGCAAACUGUAAAAUGAAGUGGAACAAAACAGCCUGAAAUAAAUUUCACCUUGACCUGAUUUCCA